rfam:Triticum aestivum genome assembly, contig: Triticum_aestivum_CS42_TGACv1_scaffold_250651_3DL
CACGUACUCCCUCCGUCCGAAAUACUUGUCAUCAAAACGGAUAAAAAAGGAUGUAUCUAGAACUAAAAUAUGUCUGGAUACAUCUUUUUUAUCCAUUUUGAUGACAAGUAUUUCCGGACGGAGGGAGUAACAC